rnacentral:rRNA from 1 species
AAAUCCACAAAACUUUCAACAACGGAUCUCUUGGUUCUCGCAUCGAUGAAGAGCGCAGCGAAAUGCGAUACCUAGUGUGAAUUGCAGCCAUCGUGAAUCAUCGAGUUCUUGAACGCACAUUGCGCCCGCUGGUAUUCCGGCGGGCAUGCCUGUCUGAGCGUCGUUUC